rnacentral:rRNA from 1 species
UACGGGGGGGGCAAGCGUUGUUCGGAAUUACUGGGCGUAAAGGGCUCGUAGGCGGCCAACUAAGUCGGAUGUGAAAUCCCCAGGCUUAACCUGGGAACUGCAUCCGAUACUGGAUGGCUUGAAUCCGGGAGAGGGAUGCAGAAUUCCAGGUGUAGCGGUGAAAUGCGUAGAUAUCUGGAGGAAUACCGGUGGCGAAGGCGGCAUCCUGGACCGAGAUUGACGCUGAGGAGCGAAAGCUAGGGGAGCAAACGGG